AUGACAGAUAACAUAAAGAAGCUUUGGAGGGAGUCCAGCGUAGACAGGGCCAAACCGUUCUCGCCGCCGCAUAUUGAUGGUUUCUCUUGCGAGUUUGUGCGGGUGCCGCAGCAGAGAAACACCCAAGAAGACAUUCUUGACAUUAGGAAGACUUUUCUGUAUACCUGCACAACUAGAGAUGUGUUUGAUGUUGACUUCCGGGGUUUGUUUGGCAUCGAACCCUGUGAGUGGUUGGAUCUUGGUGAGCAUGACUAUAGGAUCUUUGGCAGCCAGUUCUCGGAACUAUCUGGUGUUAUGAAGGGGCGGUUGGGAGCUCUGAAAGGUUCUAUGGCUGCUUGUGCUGAUAGCCCCUGUACACCCAAGAAUCCCAUUGUGGAAUUGAUAGAUAGCGACGAUGAUGCGUUUGACAAGAUUGCUGGCAUUGGAAGAGUCAUCUGGAGCGCUGCUGCCAAAGGUUGA
rnacentral:rRNA from 1 species